rnacentral:rRNA from 1 species
AGUGAACGCUGGCGGUAGGCCUAACACAUGCAAGUCGAACGGCAGCACAGUAAGAGCUUGCUCUUACGGGUGGCGAGUGGCGGACGGGUGAGGAAUACAUCGGAAUCUACUUUUUCGUGGGGGAUAACGUAGGGAAACUUACGCUAAUACCGCAUACGACCUACGGGUGAAAGCAGGGGAUCUUCGGACCUUGCGCGAUUGAAUGAGCCGAUGUCGGAUUAGCUAGUUGGCGGGGUAAAGGCCCACCAAGGCGACGAUCCGUAGCUGGUCUGAGAGGAUGAUCAGCCACACUGGAACUGAGACACGGUCCAGACUCCUACGGGAGGCAGCAGUGGGGAAUAUUAGACAAUGGGCGCAAGCCUGAUCCAGCCAUACCGCGUGGGUGAAGAAGGCGUUCGGGUUGUAAAGCCCUUUUGUUGGGAAAGAAAAGCAGCAGGUUAAUACCCCGCUGUUCUGACGGUACCCAAAGAAUAAGCACCGGCUAACUUCGUG